GAAUCACAGAACAGUUUGGGUUGGAAGGGACCUUAAAGCUCAUCCAGUUCUAACCCCCUGCCAUGGCAGGGACACCUUCCACUAGAGCAGGCUGCUCCAAGCCCUGACCAACCUGGCCUUGAGCACUGCCAGGGAUGGGGCAGCCACAGCUUCUCUGGGCACCCUGUGCCAGCGCCUCAGCACACUCACAAGGAAGAACUUCUUCCUAAUACCUAAUCUAAAUCUCCCCUCUGUCAGUUUAAAGCCAUUCCCCCUUGUCCCUUCCCUACAGGCCCUUGUCAAAAGCCCCUCUCCAGCUUUCUUGUAGCCCCUUUAGGCACUGGAAGCUGCUGUAAGGUCUCCCUGAAGCCUUCCCUUCUCCAGACUGAACAAGCCCAACUCUUUCAGCCUGUCUCCAUAGCAGAGGUGCUCCAGCCCUUGGAGCAUCUUCAUGGAAAGUCUGAAAACUUUUUCCUCAAAGCACCCUCUUGCACAUAGGAUUGGUCAGCUCAUGGAAAGACAGCCUUAAAGAAGGAGGGAGGAGGAGCCUGGGCAGUACCAGCUUGCUGGGAAAGCGCUGACAGAUGGCUAGCCUGCAGCUCUGAGUGCUCAGCAGUGGGGAGCUGCAAGCUGGAGUAGGACUGGAGUAAGCUCAUAGCUGCUUAAUGAGCUAAAAUUGCUCAUUACCUGCCUUCUGGUUCCUGGCCUUGCUCUCGCAAGUGAGUUGUCGGUAUUGAGAAAGAGCCCCCAAACUGCUGUGUCCUUUGAGCUUUGGCUGAGCCCUUGUGGCAGCUCCUGGAAAUAACCUUUGAAAAGCUUUGCCUUCCAAUUGUAUUUAAAGUUGCAGUUAUGAUUUAGAAGUUAAGAGGAUAUAAAACAUUAAAGCUCUUUUUAUAAGUC